UUUAGGGCGGGUCAUACCAGUAUUUCGCCGUUGCCUCGUGUUAACGAAGUCCUCGCCUGACCAAGACCAAGAUACGACGUUAAAAUACAGUAAAGAAGCACAAAAUCCGAAGUUAAAGACAGGAUUAACGUAUGUUCUAACAACUUAACAAAGGAUGAAAAAGGUGAGAAAAUUUUGAAAUUUUUCUGAGGUGUUUUUAAUCGAGACUUUGUCUUUGACAACCGUCGACCGACAUUUUCAAACGCAAAGUGUGAUGACAAAAUACAAAUAUUCAGAGCACUGGAAGUUAUUAAAAGGAGAUGAACGAUUUGAAUAUUCAUCGGGUACGAAUCCUAAUUCAAAUUCCUUUUGUUCUGUUGAGAAAAUAACGGAUUUGUGGCGAAAAUAUUCAAUAUUGUGCGCGCUGUAAAUUGUAAAUUGCUGUAAAUUGUCAGACAGCCUGUUGCUUUUGAAAUCUGACUCCAAAAACCAG